rnacentral:miRNA from 1 species
UCACUGGGUUUCUGAAUACUGC